rnacentral:rRNA from 1 species
UACAGAGGGUGCGAGCGUUGUCCGGAAUCACUGGGCGUAAAGGGCGCGUAGGCGGCUUGAUAAGCGUGCGGUGAAAGCCCGGGGCUCAACCCCGGGUCGGCCGUGCGAACUGUCGAGCUGGAGCACUGUAGAGGCAGGUGGAAUUCCUGGUGUAGCGGUGAAAUGCGCAGAUAUCAGGAGGAACACCGGUGGCGAAGGCGGGUCUCUGGGCCGAUACUGACGCUGAGGAGCGAAAGCGUGGGGAGCGAACAGG